AGAGUUUGAUCCUGGCUCAGAUUGAACGCUGGCGGCAGGCCUAACACAUGCAAGUCGAACGGUAACAGGAAACAGCUUGCUGUUUCGCUGACGAGUGGCGGACGGGUGAGUAAUGUCUGGGAAACUGCCUGAUGGAGGGGGAUAACUACUGGAAACGGUAGCUAAUACCGCAUAACGUCGCAAGACCAAAGAGGGGGACCUUCGGGCCUCUUGCCAUCGGAUGUGCCCAGAUGGGAUUAGCUAGUAGGUGGGGUAACGGCUCACCUAGGCGACGAUCCCUAGCUGGUCUGAGAGGAUGACCAGCCACACUGGAACCGAGACACGGUCCAGACUCCUACGGGAGGCAGCAGUGGGGAAUAUUGCACAAUGGGCGCAAGCCUGAUGCAGCCAUGCCGCGUGUAUGAAGAAGGCCUUCGGGUUGUAAAGUACUUUCAGCGGGGAGGAAGGGAGUAAAGUUAAUACCUUUGCUCAUUGACGUUACCCGCAGAAGAAGCACCGGCUAACUCCGUGCCAGCAGCCGCGGUAAUACGGAGGGUGCAAGCGUUAAUCGGAAUUACUGGGCGUAAAGCGCACGCAGGCGGUUUGUUAAGUCAGAUGUGAAAUCCCCGGGCUCAACCUGGGAACUGCAUCUGAUACUGGCAAGCUUGAGUCUCGUAGAGGGGGGUAGAAUUCCAGGUGUAGCGGUGAAAUGCGUAGAGAUCUGGAGGAAUACCGGUGGCGAAGGCGGCCCCCUGGACGAAGACUGACGCUCAGGUGCGAAAGCGUGGGGAGCAAACAGGAUUAGAUACCCUGGUAGUCCACGCCGUAAACGAUGUCGACUUGGAGGUUGUGCCCUUGAGGCGUGGCUUCCGGAGCUAACGCGUUAAGUCGACCGCCUGGGGAGUACGGCCGCAAGGUUAAAACUCAAAUGAAUUGACGGGGGCCCGCACAAGCGGUGGAGCAUGUGGUUUAAUUCGAUGCAACGCGAAGAACCUUACCUGGUCUUGACAUCCACAGAACUUUCCAGAGAUGGAUUGGUGCCUUCGGGAACUGUGAGACAGGUGCUGCAUGGCUGUCGUCAGCUUGUGUUGUGAAAUGUUGGGUUAAGUCCCGCAACGAGCGCAACCCUUAUCCUUUGUUGCCAGCAGUGAGAUGGGGACUCUAACGAGACUGCCAGUGACAAACUGGAGGAAGGUGGGGAUGACGUCAAAUCAUCAUGCCCCUUAUGACCUGGGCUACACACGUGCUACAAUGGUUGGUACAAAGAGAAGCGAAGCGGUGACGUGGAGCAAACCUCAUAAAGCCAAUCUCAGUUCGGAUUGUAGGCUGCAACUCGCCUACAUGAAGUUGGAAUCGCUAGUAAUCGCGAAUCAGAAUGUCGCGGUGAAUACGUUCCCGGGUCUUGCACACACCGCCCGUCA
rnacentral:rRNA from 1 species